rnacentral:hammerhead_ribozyme from 1 species
AUCCAGCUGACGAGUCCCACAUAGGGCUAAAUCAUCAUCCUGGAU